GGGAGCGCGCCGAUGCAGAGCGCGGCUGAGAGCAGCACGAGCCAUGACGACGACGACGACGCCAUGAAUGCUACUACUGCUAUCACUAUACACUACGUAAGUACGUGAGACUCAAUAAACGCCUGUUGCUCUCUCACUGAUUUGCUCCUCGCCAUGCUGCUGCUGCCUUUUAUAGCGCGUGCUCGCGUCGCUGGGGGUGAUUAGCGUUUAUGGAUCGCCCGUACUACUGUCCGUGUGUUGCAUUUCUCUGGUAAUUUUGUUUCUUUCACUCGGAUUAAUCUCUAUUGAGAUGUGUACAUUUGGAUUUCUUUUUGCAGCUUCUGGUGUUCUUGCUUCGUUGGCGAGUGACAUGAAUGAGUUUGAUCAGUUAGGUGGUUAACUGCACUGGUGUGAACGAUUGGUCAAUCUGUUCCCUUGACUGGAUUUGACCAUGAUGUUUUUUUUAACUUGACAGUUCUUACUCGAUGGUAAUGCUUUGCCACGGUGAUUAGUACAUUGUAUUCAAGAGGGCAGCUGGAUCUAUCAUCUAUGCAACGAUGCCUGGAUUUAGAUGAGCUGUAGUACAUAACUAGCUCUAACAUUGACGGUCAGCAGUAACAAGAUCUGGGGUUUGAGUAGUAUGCAUCAGCAACCCACAUGCAGCUGUUUUCUUUUCCCUGCAGUGUGAUCAUACGUACAAUUCAAUCAGUGAUUCAGUGCCACCUCAAAAAAGAUGCAAGUGUGUAGUGUAGCACAUUACAAUAGACCACCUCUGACAGCAAGUGAGUUUAUUCAUUGCAGAAAAACUGUAUCCUUUAACCUUUCUUCUUUAUUUUCAGCUCUCAUUUUUAUGACCUGAUACAAGUCGCUACAUACCCUUUGCUUAAUACAAAUAUACGCAAAGCUUAUGCUGUUCCUGCAUUUUUUUUUAAAAAAAAGCUAUUACAUAUAUUAUGUAUCCUCUUUGUUUUAGCCGUACUGCUGCUGCCUACCACCUUUGUUCAGAUAAGCUACUACUAACAAGCUGCAAUUAUAUUCUGUUUAUGGAUACUUUUUCAUGUUUACACUCCAGCAUCCAUGUGUACAUUCUCUACCUAUUGAAUAUACUCUAUGUACAGUUUAACCUGGCAAUUUCUGCUGAAUAUCUAUCUCAGGAUCUGUACCAUCUUCAGUAAAGGAAAAUAUAAUCCAGAAUGAAAUGAAAUUGGAUCUGCCCAAGCAGUAAGAGGGGACCCUUGCCCACCCUCAACCGCGGGCCGCAUUUAUUUCUGAAUUCAGGUACAUGAUCGAGCAUCUUCUUUCCUGUGAUUGCGCAUGGUAAAAUCUAGAUGGUACCAUCAUGAAGAUUCACUACUUAUAGUUUGCCUUUCUCAUAGUUCAGAUGAAGUACUCAGCUAGUAACUAUAGUGUCUGGCAAUACUCCGUCCAAAAAAAGACCGAUCCUGUCCAGGUUUAUUGCUAGAUUGGUUUUUUUUUUUUGGGGGGGGGGGGGGGGGGAGGGGUAAGCUACAAGCACUGUUGGUUCAGGAAAAUAAAAAAAGAAUACGUGAGAAAAUACAUACAUGUAAAAUAUGUUUGCAUUGGUGAAAACUGCCAAGUUACAAACACUGUAGGUUCUGAAAAACAAACAAAAGAAAAUGUCUCUACCGUUUGAUUUAAACAUCGGAAAAACAAACAAAAGAAAAUGUGGUGUGGUCAUUGUUGUUCCCUUGUUUUAACAAGUGGGAGACAUAGAACUACUCUAACAUUAGGAAUGACCUGGCUGCAUAAUAACAUAACCAGACUCACCUCCUUCUGGAGGCCAUUGAAUUCUGAUGUUCCCUGGACAGGAGGAUGAAAACAGAUUGACAUGGGGCAAAGCCAGUAGGAUGAGAUCUAAGCUAGGAGGCUAGUUAAAGUACAGAAAUUUUGACUUCACAUGCUUCGGUUGCUGGAGUGAACCGGUUAAGCAAAGUACAGUGACUGUGAUUCUUGCAGUCAAUCUACCUGUCCUGGUUUUUACUGCUGAUAAAACCUGCAGAUAGGCAGUAUCUUGCACCUGCUCAUCAAAUCUUCAUUAUUUACUGUUCUAGUACACAUUAAUAUUUAUGAACACUUAUGUGUAGUAACAUGAAUGCAUUUUCAAAACUCCAUUUUUUUGCAUGUACUAACAUGAUUCGACUGACGAAUUGAUGCCAUAUUUUUCAUGAAGAGGUGUCUGAAGUCAUCUUUCUCCUUGAUACGCAAACGAACUCCGCUGUUUUUAAUCAAGAGAACAAGGUGGAGCUCUAGCUUGGAGUGUAUUUGAUCUCAUGCGACUCUAAUCAAUGCGCUUUGCUGUUGAUGGGGAUCUGCAGAUAUGAAGGCUACAGCGAUGCUUCUCGAUCGAUGCUUUUGUUCUUAAUACAUGUCACCUUCAGGGCGAUCCAACCACGGCAAAUUAAUCAUUUGAUGAUGGAUACUACACUCUCCAAAUGCAACUAAGUCGAGGUUGAUAGGGUGUCACUGUCUCACGAGAUCCCUAAUGUACAUAUAAUGCUCUGAUGACAGUGAUGUUGGGGAAUUAAUGGGAACUGAUAUAUCUUAAUCAUGGCCACACUACUCUUCAUAGACAAGCUAUAGACAGUACUGAUACAGUUGGCCUAUGGACUAAUGGAGUAUGUCUUAAUGCAGGCAGCAAUGAAGCACGCAUUAAGUUUGUCUAGCACUGUUAAAUUAAUGCUAAUUAGGAUGCACUUGGAGAGCUGUUUCCAGUGAUAAUCCAUGCCAUGCCGCCCUACUACUCUACUAUGUUUAUGCUUGUAUAAUGAGGUUAACUAACGUGGUGUAUAUAUGCAUAAUAUCGUGUAAUUACACUACCUACCAUUAGGGGAAUGUUAUUUGGAUAAUACUGUAGCUAGCUGGAGUGUUAGGCUGCAGUUAACUGUUGCAGCCAUAUACAGUAAUGGUGCCAAGUUAGGUAGGUAGCCAUGAAUCAUUAACUGUUGAAGUUAAUUAGUAGAUGGAGUACAUGCAUG
rnacentral:lncRNA from 1 species